rnacentral:tRNA from 6 species
UGGGGUAUGGUGUAAUUGGCAACACGGCUGGUUCUGGUCCAGUUGUUCUAGGUUCGAGUCCUAGUACCCCAGCGA